AUGUCACAUUCUGUGGCACCUCUACAAGCGGCAGCUGAAAGCACAGGUCUUGUGUUUGAGUGCUGGGCAGGUUGUAAUGAAGCUGGGUGUGUAGACUGCAGUUUGCUCUCCAGGGAGCAUGAGCCUGAGAUGGUUGUUACUAGCUCAGACCAGCUCAAUACUGCUUUUUUACUUGCCUUGAGUUGUUUACCUCUUCUUUUUUCCACGUCCUUAAAGAAAACACUCUUCUUCUCUUUUUGUUUCAGCUGCAACACCUCUAAAGAGCUAAAGUUGGAGACCACAGGUCGAGGCUGGACUGUCAGUGAUUGACAUGAGCAGAAACCAUCCGUCCCCAUCCAGCUUCAUUUCAAAAGGGAUUCAAACUUCCAGGGAUAGUAAAACUUUACAUUUUGAUAUUUCAUGUGAUUCCCGUGUGCAUGAGGGAAAGCGUAUGAUGACCGACUGACUGUACGUUACACGACUGACCCACUGAUCUCCAAAGCCUGCCCGUCUCUUGUCAAGCUCCCCGCGUCCCGUCUGAGAGCGUCUGUCCACUCAAACACGGCCAGCUGCAACUCAUUACCCACUGUAUUUUAAAAUCCUGUGUUUUUUUUAUUUUUUAUGAUGUUUUAAAGUACUUUGAAUAUUGCAUAUAUUGGAAGUCCAAAUGUAUCAGAAUAAUUGGAGGCCUUAUUGCAAACAUGUUGUGCCUGUCUUUUAUUACAUAUAUAAAUUAAAAUGGUUUUCACUCCUAGAAGUUUCCGUGAUUACUUGCUCAUCACUCUGUGUUUUCUUGGUCUCUUAACGGAAAUGCAUGUCAGAUUUUCAGAUUAUUACACUACUGGUCAUUUUAAUGUUUUUUUAAGUCUCUUCUGCUUACCAAGGCUGCAUUUAUUUGAUCAAAAUACAGUAAAACAGUGAAAUAUUAUUAUAAAUUAAAACAGCUGUUUUCUGUGUGAAUCUCUGUUAAAGUGUAAUGUAUUUCUGUGAUGCGCAGCUGUAUUUUCAGCAUCAUUACUCCAGUCUUCAGUGUCACAUGAUCUUCAGAAAUCAUUCUAAUAUGAUGAUUUGCUGCUCAAGAAACAUUUCUGAUUAUUAUCAAUGUUGAACACAGUUGUGCAGCACAAUAUUUUUGUGGAAACUAUGAUAAAUUUUUAUUGUUCAGGAUUCACAGAUUAAUAGAAAGUUCAAAAGAACAGCAUUUAUUUGAAAUCAAUUCUACUUAUACUGUAUAUUAAUUUAAUGUUUCAUAUGAACUUCUGUAAUUUCUUUACCUCCCAGCAGGAGCACAUGUCAGUGGAUUAAAGAGAAAGAGAAGUGUUCUCCAGUAGUUCUGAGGGUCAAGGGCAAAAUCAAGCCUUCAUUUAAAUGCAGUUCAUUUAAAACAGCCGGAAUACUCAGUUUGGCCAUGAAUUUCAUCAGAACUGAUCAGCUCAGCUUGAAGAAGCGGUCUGUGUUUAUUUUGAGAAGCUAAUGUCCAGAGAUGCUUCAGCCUUGGCUUCUAUUUCCAUUUGAGUUUUGAAGAAUUAUUUUGGAGAUGAGAAGACCUGAUGUCAAAGCGCAACAUCUUUCUCCUUUUGAAGGCACGAUUUUGAGGGCAGCGGUUUCAAGAAUAAGUGAUGCAAUCAUUUCAGCCUAUGAGAAGCCUCAAAUUAGCUCUGUUUUUUAUUUUUUAUUUAUUUAUUUAUGUAUUUAUUAUUUUUAUUAAAUGUUUAUUUUUUAUAUAAUAAUAAUAAUAUAAUGCAAUAAAAUUAAUUGUUUUUAUUUUUAUAUUGUUUUA
ensembl:lncRNA